rnacentral:rRNA from 1 species
GAAGGUUGAUUCUGCCUUUUUAAUUGGCUUUAUUGAUAAUAUUAAAUAUAAAUUUUAGUGUGUUAUUUUUGUCUUAAAGAUGAUUAUUUUAUUUGUAGUUUUUAAUUUUGGUUAGUUUAUAUAAUUAUAGAACCAGUUAUUUUUUAAAAACUGUUGAAUAAUGUGCCAGCAAACGCGGUUACACAUUUAGUUUAAGUUAAUUUUUUUGGUGAACAUUAAUUUUUUUAUUUGAAAUUUAAUUUUAUUUUUUAGGGUGAAAUUUUAAAUUUAAAUUAUAUUUUUUGGUUAAUGAUUAUGUGAAAUUUAGAAUUUAAACUAGGAUUAGAUACCCUAUUAUUCUAAAUGUAAAUUUUUUACCAUAGUAUUAAUAGUUAUGAUCUUUAAAUUAAAAGAAUUUGGCGGUAAUUUAGUCUUUUCAGAGGAACCUGUCCUGUAAUCGAUAAUCCACGUUAUAUUUUACUUUAAUUAUUGUUUGUAUAUCUCUGUCAUUGAAUGUUUUAUUAGAAUAUUUUCUUGAAUUAUUAAUUUAAUUAAUGUCAGGUCAAGGUGCAACUAUAUUAAAGGUUGAGAUGGGUUACAUUUAAUGUUAUUAAUUGGAUUAUUAUUUGUUGU